GCCACGGUGGUCUAUCGGUUAGAACGCUGGCCUUGUAAUCCUGGAGUCUCGGGUUCGAUUCCCGGCAGUGCCC
rnacentral:tRNA from 1 species